AUAUAUAUAGUGACUGCCUCUAAUCUAUAAAUAUUGAAGGAUGUUAAUCUUUUUGGUCACAUAUUUAUAUUGUUGCUUUUUUUAUUUGAUAUUAGAGUAUAUGAUCUAUGUAAUCUCUACUUUUUAAAUGUACAGCUUUCAAGCAAAUGUAUGAUUUUUUCAUAAAUGGACAUAAGAUUGAUUAUAUAUAUAUGUACGUGUGUGUGCAGAGAUUAUAUAUAUACAUACAUGCAUAUAUUCGUGUAUACAUUUGCAUAUUAUAAUUUAUCUACUGUUAUUCACUUUCUCACCUUCCUUGCCUGAUUUUGACCUUUAAUCUUGAAAUAAUUUUAUUAACUAUAUACUAUAGUUUGCUUUUUCUCACCUCUCCUUACAUUUUCAAUAUAAUUUCUUUCCAAAUAUUUAGGAUGUAUAUUGUGUUAUAAUUGCUAUAUCAACAUGAAUUGUGCCUAUUAUGAUUGUAAAAGUCCCUCUUUACACUGCUUUUUACUUUUGAGCUUAUAUCUAAGAUUUUCUGAUGAAAUAUUGACAUUUUUGCCUUUCUUAAUUUUGCAUUUGCCUGGUAUCUCUUGGCUUUUCCCUUUAUUUUCAACCGUUCUUUAUCACUUGGUCUGAAGCAAGUUUCUUGUAACAGCACAUUGCUCGAUUUUGUUUUUUUAACCUAAUUUGACAGCUUUUGUCUUUUUAUAGAAUAUUCAGUAAGAGGAUUCAGUUUUCAGAAUGAACUAGAGCACAGAAGGGGGACUGCCUCUGCAUAUUUAAGUAGAUUGUAUUCCAAAGAUAUGAACAUUGUUGAGGCAGGAGAACUAACUAGCUUCUUACAUAGAAAGGUGUUUCUAUAGGGAAUGCUCCACAGAAUUCCAAUUAAUUGUUUCACAGAUUAAGAGAGUCACCAGGGUUCCCUUGUAACAUUUCUCAUCAAAGAGUGUUCUAUAGGGAAGAGAUAAAACCUAAACAGUCCCGGAAGCUGAGACAAGAAACUGAAAAAAAAAGGAAAGUGAGCAACAAGAUAAUGUAAGUCACAACUGAGCCAAUUAAGGAGCAGGAGAUGCAGCAGCAUGUCCCAAACAAAACUGAUUGGAGGUCAAGUGUGGACAACCAGAGCAAGUUCUUGCACAGCUAAUGUAUCCCCAGGUGUGAACUGAGUAACAUGAAGAAAGGCAUCCUCCUGCCACCUCCUGAAUCAGUAGAAAAAGACAAAAGCUUUUGAUGGGAUUAUGCUGGAGUCCAUGUCAUGGAACCAAACUGGAAAUUUUCUGGCAUGAUUUUAGGCGUUUUGCAUGAACUCUAAUUCAUUGAAAUGUAACAACCUUAUAAGGUUCCAGGUGUGUCUUAGUUUUGAAGCUUCACAGCAGCUGAGUAGUAGUGUGUGGUGAGCAUAACAAAUACCUAAAACUUUCAGGAAGGUGAAUCCUUCUCUCUGACCGUGGGAACUAUGGUCUGAAGAUGAAUGCCAAUCGCAAGAUAAUUCAAAUAUUGAAAUUAUGAAACAAUGACUUCCAAAUCAGCUAUGAUAAUGUGAUCUACAAGCUAAGGUCUAAUAUCCUCAAAACAAAUGGAAAGACAGAACAUCUUAGCAGGGAAAUAAAAGAUUCAACUGGCUCAUGGUUUGUACCGGGGGAACCAAGCCCAUGGUUGGGAUCCAGGGGUCCCUCCAGUCUCCUGUUCCAUGGUCGCACACACCUUGAGGGCACCCACACGGUUUGAUCGUCUCCUUAUAUUGCUGCUGGCAGACUCGUGACGGGGUUUCUCAUUCAUCUGGGUGUACAAGAAGCAUGGUGCCAGCAUCUGCUCAGCUUCUGAUGAGGGCUCUGGGAAGCUUUUACUCAUGGAGGAAGGCAAGGGGAACCAGCAUGUCACAUGAUGAGAAAGGAAGCAUGAGAGAGAGGUGCCAGACUCUUCAACAACCAGAAGAGAAAGUCAGAGAGAAUCAAAGCAUGUGAAGAGAGACCUCACGCAAGGAGGUCUAGGAGCCUAGAGUGAUCUUCAGCCAACAGUCAAAAAGAUAACUGGGACAACCACAAGGAACUGACUUCUAUAAGAGAAAUGAGCCUGGAAAAGGACUCCAAGCUUCAGAUGAAAAUGUAGUUGGCUGACACUUUGAUUUUAGUCUUGUGAAACCCUAAGCAGAGAAUCCAAGUAAGUCCCCCUGAACUUCUCACCUAAAGAACAAUGAGUUAAUAAAUAAGGGGUAUGAUAAGUCAUGAAAUAUGUGGUAAUUUAUUACAAAACAAUAUAUAAUGAUACAGAUACCUAUCUGGUAGCCAGAUAUUAUCCUAAGUAUUUUCCACAAGACAUUUAAUUUGAUUUAAUUAACACGCAACUCCAUAAGAGACAGAUCCUUUUAACUAUUUUGCAGGUGGUAAACUGAGGCUCAAGUAAUUUAUGUGAUUUGUCUAAGGUCCCAUAGGCUAUAAGUGUCAGAGCCCAGAUUGAGAAGUGUUUGGCUGUUCAUGCAAGUGCAAGCAGCUUUCAUUAAACUAUUCGCAGAAGUCUGUCAGAAUAGCUAGCAAGGAUACCAACUAUCUAGGGAAAGUCACACCAAAGGAGUGACCCAAAGAAACACAUUUUAACCUGAACUGCCUGGUAAUACACUGAAGGCAAAUCAGCCCCAAAGACUAAAAUUGUUAAUUUUCUGUGAUUCCUCGCUGUUUUAUUUAAUAUAAUAUGACCUUAACCUAGUCUUGAUAUUUGAUUUCUGAACAAUGAGUCAAGAGAGUUGCCUUCUCUAUGUAGUAGUACUUUACUGUUGUCAAAGACUUGUCCUUUGGUGCUUCAUAUUUUGCUUUACCUACAUGGAACAUUGCUAAUUUAGGUGAUAGCCUAACUAUUUAUAGUUAAAUACACCCACCAAGUUCCCUUUACCCUUCAAAUUAACUAAAAAGAAACAACUUCCUACUUCUUACACCACAUAAAAUUCAUAUUUUGCUUUAAAUGUAAUUUUUCAGCAAAGAGCCUAGUGGAGUUCACUUAAAACUAACCAAAUCAGCUGUUAAAAUUGUCCAUUUGAUCACAUGGGUUAUAGGCAUAGUUAUUUGACUGAGUUAUGACAAUGCUCAGAAACAGAAAAGACAGUCAAAGGUUAUCAUGUAAGUUCAAUAAAAAUUCAACAGUUGUUUUUAAAGAUUUUCAUAUGAUAAUAUUGUUUCACUUUCUAUUACCCAUAUUUGAUUUCAUUUACAAAUAAAAUACUACCCACUCUAUGAAUCAUGCUUUUAUCUCAAAUAUAUCUAGAGUGAAUCUCUAUGAUUUUUAGAAUACAGAAAUAUACAUUUUAAAAAGAUUUUAACAUUUAUUGUAAAUAAUUUAAGACAACUUUUAGAUAUAUCACGUGAGUGUUUAACUCAAUUUUCAUGACCCAGCUGGCCCAAAUUAGUCUUUUUUAUAAAUUGUUUUUUGAGUUGAAAUUAUUCUUUCACACCUAAAGAACUCUAUCUGAUGCUCUAGAGAGAAAUAUUCAAUUGAACUUCACAAUGUAGAACAUUUCCUGCAUUCUCCAUUGUAGACUGUGAUGAAUAAAUCAAUAUGUGCUUACUAAAAACAAAUGAUACAAUUUAAGGAAAUAUAUUAUUUUGAGUCCUGAUUCAAAGAAAAUAACCAAAUAUUUAAAAUUUAUUUAAAAUUUGUACUGUUUAUUUAUAUAAUUAUAACAUCUUCAAAAUCAAUAAUGAUUUUCUUCAUUUAGUAUUUAAACAUAACUAUUUUCUCAUAGUACUAGAGUCGCCAUAAGCAUCACUCUAUGGCUAUAUAAUUUCUGACAUGUGCUUUUAUUGGAAUUCAUUAAUAAUUUCAUUAUUUUUAGGUAUUUAGAUCAUGGCCCACUUUCCCCUACAACCACGAUACCUGUUUAAAUUGACAAAUCAUAGUUGUAUGGAUUUACGGGGCAAAAUGUGAUGUUUUGAUAUACGUAUAUGAUACAGUUUGAUUAAAUCAAGCUGCUUUAACAUAUCCAUCAUCCUGCUUACCUAUCAUUUUUAAUAAUGAGAUAUUUGAAAUGUAUUCUCUUAGUUAUUUUCAAAUACAUAAUACAUUAUUAUUGACUGUAGUCAUCCUGGUGUGCAAUGAAUCUCAAGAUGAAUAUUUCCAUGAACAUUAAAAAAAAUUCUUCCAUUUUGAAAUGUCACUUUUCAUUAAUUGUGACUCUGAUACUUCUCCGCUUGACAUCUCCACUUAUGCAAUAAAAAAAUUCAUUGUACACUUUAUCUUCUAGGGACUUGACACGUGCAAGCCCUUCACUUUCAUUUUUUUCUAAGCCAGCUUUCUCCAUCCCCUCAUAUCAAUGCCUCAGCAUCCAGUGAUUAAAUCCCAGCAUUUCUAUCACAGUUUAUCUCCAUCACAAUAUUUCCUGUUUUGCAGUAUAACUGGUGAUUAACUUUAAUUACAAUCAUGACUACUCUAUAGCAGAGGCCAAAAUGAUGAUUACACAUCAUGUUUCAUAAUAUUUUUCAGUUAGAUGAAGCUUCAGUGCAGCUACCCUGCUAAAAUAACUAAUUUGCAUAUCAUUAUAUAGAGUUCAAAUGAACUUAUUUUAUCCACUCCCACCCAUUAGUCAUCUUAUUGCAGUUUAGAAAAUAUAUUGACUCUGGACCAUGAGUCUGUAGGUGAAGGUAACAGUUAUAAUGAUGAAAAAAAAUUUUCUCAGGUCAUUCUGUAUUUUUCCUGAUUUAAUUGAUUAUAUCACUCAUAGGCCAUCAAGGCACCACUAGAAACUUUUCUAUUAAACAUAGUACUGGAAGUUCCAGCCAGGGCAAUCAGUCAAGAGAAAGAAAUAAAGGGUAUUCAAAUAGG
rnacentral:lncRNA from 1 species